AAGCCGGAACCUUUGACUCAAC
rnacentral:miRNA from 1 species